rnacentral:misc_RNA from 1 species
GAUGAAGAACGUAGCGAAAUGCGAUAAGUAAUGUGAAUUGCAGAAUUCAGUGAAUCAUCGAAUCUUUGAACGCACAUUGCGCCCCUUGGUAUUCCGGGGGGCAUGCCUGUUCGAGCGUCAUUUCAACCCUCAAGCUCUGCUUGGUAUUGGGCUCCGUCCUCAGGGACGCGCCUCAAAGACCUCGGCGGUGGCGUCUUGCCUCAAGCGUAGUAGAAAACACCUCGCUUUGGAGCGCAUGGCGUCGCCCGCCGGACGAACCUUUGAAUUUUUCUCAAGGUUGACCUCGGAUCAGGUAGGGAUACCCGCUGAACUUAAGCAUAUCAAUAAGCGGAGGA